UGCAUGUACUCGUAGAGGCUGGUCAGGUAGUGGCGCCGCCACUUGGAGUCGUCCUCAGAGACAAAACCAGCAAAACAAAGUUUAAUCUCAAUGGAUGUCUUUCUCCACCUGGUCGGAGUUCGAUUGCAUCUGGGAGAUCAGCAGAGCCAGGCUGCUCGCCUGGGUCCUGCAGGGAGGAAAUCACAAGCUCAGAUGAAAAGUUUGGUCCAGUCUUUUCAAAAUCAUCCGUCUGAGAAUAGCCAAAGUGACCAGGUUUUCUAAAACGCUGCGACGUGAGGGUAGUUGAUCAUCUUGAGGUUGCCAAUGUCCAGAAACAGCUUCUCCAGCAGACCCUCUG